CCUGAACAGGGGAGCCGUCCGGUCGUCAGACCGCGCAGCUCCCUUGCUUACGCCCUUGUCUAUGAGCACCCUUUUGUAGUUUCCUCGGCGGGUUCGCCCGCCGACAGGAACCCCUUUAACCAUUUUGCAUCAGCAUCAUACUUCUGAUCUAAACAAAAAUAAUCA
rnacentral:misc_RNA from 1 species